GGUUAAGCGACUAAGCGUACACGGUGGAUGCCCUGGCAGUCAGAGGCGAUGAAGGACGUGCUAAUCUGCGAUAAGCGUCGGUAAGGUGAUAUGAACCGUUAUAACCGGCGAUUUCCGAAUGGGGAAACCCAGUGUGUUUCGACACACUAUCAUUAACUGAAUCCAUAGGUUAAUGAGGCGAACCGGGGGAACUGAAACAUCUAAGUACCCCGAGGAAAAGAAAUCAACCGAGAUUCCCCCAGUAGCGGCGAGCGAACGGGGAGCAGCCCAGAGCCUGAAUCAGUGUGUGUGUUAGUGGAAGCGUCUGGAAAGGCGCGCGAUACAGGGUGACAGCCCCGUACACAAAAAUGCACAUACUGUGAGCUCGAUGAGUAGGGCGGGACACGUGGUAUCCUGUCUGAAUAUGGGGGGACCAUCCUCCAAGGCUAAAUACUCCUGACUGACCGAUAGUGAACCAGUACCGUGAGGGAAAGGCGAAAAGAACCCCGGCGAGGGGAGUGAAAAAGAACCUGAAACCGUGUACGUACAAGCAGUGGGAGCACGCUUCGGCGUGUGACUGCGUACCUUUUGUAUAAUGGGUCAGCGACUUAUAUUCUGUAGCAAGGUUAACCGAAUAGGGGAGCCGAAGGGAAACCGAGUCUUAACUGGGCGUUAAGUUGCAGGGUAUAGACCCGAAACCCGGUGAUCUAGCCAUGGGCAGGUUGAAGGUUGGGUAACACUAACUGGAGGACCGAACCGACUAAUGUUGAAAAAUUAGCGGAUGACUUGUGGCUGGGGGUGAAAGGCCAAUCAAACCGGGAGAUAGCUGGUUCUCCCCGAAAGCUAUUUAGGUAGCGCCUCGUGAAUUCAUCUCCGGGGGUAGAGCACUGUUUCGGCAAGGGGGUCAUCCCGACUUACCAACCCGAUGCAAACUGCGAAUACCGGAGAAUGUUAUCACGGGAGACACACGGCGGGUGCUAACGUCCGUCGUGAAGAGGGAAACAACCCAGACCGCCAGCUAAGGUCCCAAAGUCAUGGUUAAGUGGGAAACGAUGUGGGAAGGCCCAGACAGCCAGGAUGUUGGCUUAGAAGCAGCCAUCAUUUAAAGAAAGCGUAAUAGCUCACUGGUCGAGUCGGCCUGCGCGGAAGAUGUAACGGGGCUAAACCAUGCACCGAAGCUGCGGCAGCGACACUAUGUGUUGUUGGGUAGGGGAGCGUUCUGUAAGCCUGUGAAGGUGUGCUGUGAGGCAUGCUGGAGGUAUCAGAAGUGCGAAUGCUGACAUAAGUAACGAUAAAGCGGGUGAAAAGCCCGCUCGCCGGAAGACCAAGGGUUCCUGUCCAACGUUAAUCGGGGCAGGGUGAGUCGACCCCUAAGGCGAGGCCGAAAGGCGUAGUCGAUGGGAAACAGGUUAAUAUUCCUGUACUUGGUGUUACUGCGAAGGGGGGACGGAGAAGGCUAUGUUGGCCGGGCGACGGUUGUCCCGGUUUAAGCGUGUAGGCUGGUUUUCCAGGCAAAUCCGGAAAAUCAAGGCUGAGGCGUGAUGACGAGGCACUACGGUGCUGAAGCAACAAAUGCCCUGCUUCCAGGAAAAGCCUCUAAGCAUCAGGUAACAUUAAAUCGUACCCCAAACCGACACAGGUGGUCAGGUAGAGAAUACCAAGGCGCUUGAGAGAACUCGGGUGAAGGAACUAGGCAAAAUGGUGCCGUAACUUCGGGAGAAGGCACGCUGAUAUGUAGGUGAAGUCCCUCGCGGAUGGAGCUGAAAUCAGUCGAAGAUACCAGCUGGCUGCAACUGUUUAUUAAAAACACAGCACUGUGCAAACACGAAAGUGGACGUAUACGGUGUGACGCCUGCCCGGUGCCGGAAGGUUAAUUGAUGGGGUUAGCGGUAACGCGAAGCUCUUGAUCGAAGCCCCGGUAAACGGCGGCCGUAACUAUAACGGUCCUAAGGUAGCGAAAUUCCUUGUCGGGUAAGUUCCGACCUGCACGAAUGGCGUAAUGAUGGCCAGGCUGUCUCCACCCGAGACUCAGUGAAAUUGAACUCGCUGUGAAGAUGCAGUGUACCCGCGGCAAGACGGAAAGACCCCGUGAACCUUUACUAUAGCUUGACACUGAACAUUGAGCCUUGAUGUGUAGGAUAGGUGGGAGGCUUUGAAGUGUGGACGCCAGUCUGCAUGGAGCCGACCUUGAAAUACCACCCUUUAAUGUUUGAUGUUCUAACGUUGACCCGU
rnacentral:rRNA from 1 species